rnacentral:rRNA from 1 species
GGACUACCGGGGUAUCUAAUCCCGUUUGCUCCCCUGGCUUUCGUGCCUCAGCGUCAGACAAGGUCCAGUGUGUCGCUUUCGCCACCGGCGUUCCUUCCAAUAUCAACACAUUUCACCGCUCCACUGGAAGUUCCACACACCCCUACCUCACUCCAGCCUCGCAGUUUAGGACGCAAUUCCCCGGUUGAGCCGGGGGCUUUCACACCCUACUUACGAAACCGCCUACGCACUCUUCAAGCCCAGUGAUUCCGAAUAACGUUUGCACAGUUCGUCUUACCGCGGCUGCUGGCAC